GAUGGGAUAAUAUAUGACAAAAAUACUGAGUUUUAGGAAUCAAUAUGGGGAUGGAUGAAAACUAAUGAUUGAUCAACAUAGAUUGCAAAGCCGGCCUUUUGUAUAAUAAAAUGGAAGGAUCGAUAUAAAGAAUAUACAAUUGAGAGCUAGACAUAUGGCAGGCUUACGGGUGGAGAAAAUGCUCAAAGAGCCAAGCGCGAAGAACAGACACAGACCGCUCAGGCAACCCACGUUGAGGCCGCCAAGGGUGGUUAUCCAUCAUUGUCAUUUGUUGUAACGCUCUUUGUUGCCUUAGAGUUUGAUCAAGAAGCCUUAACCGAGGAGUCUCCCCUUUGGUGGCACCAGGGGAAGAAAGGUCUUUUUCUCCCAUGGCCUUCUUGGUUUCCUUGAUCUGGCCUACAAUCCCGUCUCUCAAACACCUAAAAUGUCUUGACAUUGCCUUUGAGGCCAAGGUUGAGUAAACCGUUGCUGCACCAUCACCGGCCACUGCUUCAAAUGAUGAAACCACUGCCUUCAUUUGAUGACGGUAAUUGUGGUAUUUCCUAUCCACCUAUGUAUUUCCAUCAGUCCAGACAAUUUUUAAAAAAAUAAAUGCAUCAGAUUAUGUUAAUUUCUCUGAUGUUUUUCAUUUAAUCACAUGCACAAAUCUAUAGUAAAAACAAACAUUCAACAAGAAAAGAGGUUUUUGCUACAAUUAAAUGAAGCAAACAAAUUUGUCAUCAUGUGGGCAUUAAUGGAAUAACUCAUGGUCACUUAAUUAGUUGAAAAUCAAUUAAAGAUAAGGAACCUUCAACUUAAUUUUAUUAAACAAAAAAAAUCAUUUAUCAAUUUAUUUAGUUAUAGAAAAAAUAAAAUCAAACUAAAUAGUAAUUGUAUGUAUUCAUGAAGAUUAAUUAUAAUAUUAUAUAUUUAUUUUGUGAAAUAAAAACAAAUUAUACCCAAAAAUGUAAGAAAUAAUUUAUACCUCUUCUAGCAGUUGAAGGAGCUUUGAUUUUCUUUUUUGCAACUCCAAGAAUUCAAGAGUAUUUAAAGGUUUAUUUUCUGAAGAAGUAGCAUUAAUAUUGUUAUCAUGAUCUUGCCAUUGAUUGUUUCUUUGAGCCUUUGCAGCCUUUGUGGUUGAAUGAUCAUUAUUUUGGUUUGUACCGAGAUUGCAGAAUUCAUUGAGGAUAUCUUGGGCAGGCAUAUUCAUGGGCUUGCCAAAAUACCCUUGAUGAUCUUGUGGUACUGAUGAAGGUCUAACAAGCUCAAAAGGUUGAAUUCCAAUAGUUGAUGGAUUGGUUGAAGAGAGGGAAAGAGAAAGACCUUGACUUGGUCUUUCAUUUGGUUCACAUGGGAUUAAAACACAUCUUUGGAGAGAUGAUUGAUGAUCAUCAAACUGAGAGAAAUCUCCGGUGCCGGCGAUAGUCAUGAUGGGCUUAUUGGAAGCUGGUGAUGAGGGUUUCCAAAAGACUUCUGAUGAGUUGUUGUGACUCACUGAGUUGUUUUGCUCAAAGUUGAAGAACUGAUCAUUAGGGUUAAUUGUUGUUGAUAAGUUAGCAUGAUGAAAAGAAUCAAACCCUGUGGCUGUUCCCACCAUCAUAUUAUUUCCUUUUAUGGUCUUCUCUUCUUGAUCAA